rnacentral:rRNA from 1 species
UACGUAGGGUGCAAGCGUUAAUCGGAAUUACUGGGCGUAAAGCGUGCGCAGGCGGUUUUGUAAGUCUGACGUGAAAUCCCCGGGCUCAACCUGGGAAUUGCGUUGGAGACUGCAAGGCUGGAGUCUGGCAGAGGGGGGUAGAAUUCCACGUGUAGCAGUGAAAUGCGUAGAGAUGUGGGGGAACACCGAUGGCGAAGGCAGCCCCCUGGGUCAAGAUUGACGCUCAUGCACGAAAGCGUGGGGAGCAAACAGG